UAGAACUUGUUGAUCUUGCAGGCGCUCCUGGGACCUGUUUGUUUUGCCGCACUGCCCGUGCUCUUACGGAGGAGAAGCUGAUCCCGUUUGGCAGGUCCCGGGGAACUCGAGCGCAUGGGGAGGCUAUUAGCGUCGCUGGCAUUUCCGAGAGCCAAGCAGACGGAGAAAGGGGACCAAGAGUUCCGUCGGGAGGCUGAAAGCUUAUCUCCCCACCUCUGCAAAAGUCUGGACACACGAGGAGAACAGCCAACACAACACAUCACACCCGCUGCAUGUGGAAGAGCUACAGGAGGGUGGCUGUUGAGUUCGCAGCGCCAGGGACCCUCGGUCUGGAAGCCCCUGCACUCUACCUGUUGAAUUUCCCUCUGGUGCUCUGCUACUGAAGGGCUAGAAACAAGAAAGCUGCACCUGGAGGGAAUCU